rnacentral:tRNA from 1 species
GGGGGAUUAGCUCAGCUGGGAGAGCGCGGGCUUUGCAAGCCUGAGGUCGAGGGUUCGAAUCCCUUAUCCUCCACCA